GAGAGCAAAAUGAAUCGAAAGAUUCAUGUUUGGUUCGGGAAGGGAUCAUAGAACUUUUUUUUACUGAAUAAUCUACUUUCAU
rnacentral:ncRNA from 1 species